AUGACCAUAAUGAAUAUCAGAAUACAGAAAUAUGAAAAGGAGCUGCAGGUACUGAGAGGAGAGAACAGGAAGAACAUGAUGCUGUCCGUCGCUCUGUUAGCCAUCAGUGCUCUUUUCUACUACACAUUCAUAUAUUAAAGAGCUGUAGUUAAACUUACACCAGCUGCUCAUCUACAUGAAGUCUUUGAUAUUGAGGUCAGCGAGAGGAUCUUUAGAAGGUGGAGGCUUUCUGGGACUCUGGGCCAUUCCCGGAGACAUCUGUGGGGGAAAC